UAUUAUAUGCUUGAUUCAAAGACUAAGCCAUGCAUGUCUAAGUAUAAACACUUUAUACUGCGAAACUGCGACCAGCUCAUUACAUCAGUUAUAAUUCAUUUGAAGGUUAGACUACUACAAGGAUACCUGUGGUAAUUCCAAAGCUAAUACUUGCGUCGUGUCUCGACUGUUGCCUUGUCUUCUGUUAAAGGAGGGCAGGGUGAGUGGAAGGGAUGAGCUUAUCAGCUUCAGACCCACUGUAUCUUCUCUUCACGGAGACGGUACUUUGUUGGCGAAU
rnacentral:rRNA from 1 species